UGGAGAGAACUCUUGACGCUGAGGCGGAAGAAAGCGGGGUUGGUUCCCUUUAGGGGUUUCUUUUUUCCUUAGUAGUUGUUGGCUUUUUGUCAGCCCGGAGUCGACAACUCUUGAAGAAGCCAGUGACAGCUUUGAGUGUAGGUUACUCUCUAGGCACUAGGCUUUGUGAAGAGUCCACAGUAAACACCCAGGAGAUCUUGCUCCCUUCCCUCCCUCAGAGCACCCCUAGAUUAACCCUUUGCUGCUGAGCGAAUAUUCUGCAUCAGGGUCGCACGGAUCUGGGGUCCGAACCAUCUGGAGAUGCUUUUGCAGCAGCUACUCAGUUAUUCGCAGAGAAGAGUAAGGUUCCCUGGGAACCUCGGUGACCUACUGUUUCUGUUCCGGGCAGGCCCCCCUGCAGAGCUUUCUCCCGGUGGAAUUGGAUCAGAACCCAGGAUUUGGUGUCUUGUCUCUGAAGACUGGGGACCCGCCCUCAUUUAGAUCCAUUCCAGGAGAGUAAGAGCGCAAUGUGAUGUUUUUCAAAUUGUGUCUAACGGAGCUCCCCAACGCCGCACUUCUUACCCCCUGAUUGGCUGGAAGGAAGCAGUACUGGGGGGUUUGAAUGUGGAACCAGGAGCUGAUAAUUCUCCACCUAGAUUUUAACCUUUAGAAGAGAACCAAUUCUGGAAAACAACCUAAGUUUCUUUGACUGAAUGCUGGCAUAAUGCAUUGGAACACAAUAGAGGAUUAAGGUUUAACAAUGCUAAAAUGAAGAUAUUACUAGAACAGCCCUCUAAAUAGCCCAACAAUUAUUUUGUAAGUAUUAGCUUCCAGUUCCCUCCUCAGUGACCCACCACCAUUACUACAAAAACUUACUAUUUGCUGUCAUGUUUCCAUUCACUUCUGAUUAUUUUCUGUCUAUCCUAGAAUAGCUUAAGUCUCCCUCAGCUCUAUAUUCGUUAAUGUUUGAUUUUACUUUAGUUUAGAACAAGAAUGAUUUCAUUGCUGUAGGUUACUUUACUAGUGUGGAAAGUAUUUUCUAGAAAGGCUCUGUUAUCUCCAAGUCUGAGAAUCACAAUAUUAAAUCAUUUCUCCAAAGUUUAAAAAUAACUAAAGAUUUUUUUAAGGCUUACAUAUUUUUAUUUUAUGUGGGUUUGACUGCAUAUACAUGUGUACUGUGCCUGGUGUCCGUGGAGGCCAGAAGAGGGCAAUGGAUCCCCUGGAACUGGAGUUCUAAGGUGUUGGUUGUGUACCACCAUAUGGGUGCUGGGAACCCUGGUAUCUACAAGAACAAGAAGUACUCUUAACCAGGAGCCAUCCAUCUUUCCAGUCCUAGUAAUGGUAUUUUUUAUUAUCAUUAUUCAAGUUUAUUGAUCUUGCAGUUUUAUAGCUUGAAAGUAGCCUCUUGAAAUAUUUUUUGUUUUUGCAUUAAUUUGAGACUUCUUUGUAAGAAACUUUUUACACUUAGUUUUUAAAACUUCAGGAGAUAGGAAAAACAGCAAAGGCAAUCUCUUUUCUGUCUGUAUGCACACACUUGCACACAUUAAAAUUUUUCCUGAUUUAAAUUUGGAAAACUAUACAUUACAACAGAAUGAUUCUAACAGGUUAGCUGAAAUUAAUAUAUCUCCAGAAAAACUGGCAUAUUAAUAAGUUCAUGUUAAAUACACACAGAUAAUUAUUUCUAUGAAAGUAUUCCAGACUCUGAAAUUAACAAAAGAUUCAUUUCCAUCUACUUCUUGAGCUAAUUUUGCAUCUCUCAAAAAAAAAAAAAAAAAA